CCUACGGGUGACAGCAGUCGAGAAUCAUUCACAAUGGGGGAAACCCUGAUGGUGCGACGCCGCGUGGGGGAAUGAAGGUCUUCGGAUUGUAAACCCCUGUCAUGUGGGAGCAAAUUAAAAAGCUAGUCCCACAAGAGGAAGAGCCGGCUAACUCUGUGCCAGCAGCCGAGGUAAUACAGAGGUCUCAAGCGUUGUUCGGAAUCACUGGGCGUAAAGCGUGCGUAGGCUGUUUCGUAAGUCGUGUGUGAAAGGCGCGUGCUCAACCCGCGGACCGCACAUGAUACUGCGAGACUAGAGUAAUGGAGGGGGAACCGGAAUGCUCUGUGUAGCAGUGAAAUGCGUAGAUAUCGAGAGGAACACUCGUGGCGAAGGCGGGUUCCUGGACAUUAACUGACGCUGAGGCACGAAGGCCAGGGGAGCGAAAGGGAUUAGAUACCCGUGUAGUC
rnacentral:rRNA from 1 species